rnacentral:rRNA from 1 species
UACGGAAGGGGGCUAGCGUUGCUCGGAAUUACUGGGCGUAAAGGGCGCGUAGGCGGGUCGUUUAGUUAGAGGUGAAAGCCCCAGGGCUCAACCCUGGAAUAGCCUUUAAUACUGGCGGCCUUGAGUAUGGCAGAGGUGUGUGGAACUCCGAGUGUAGAGGUGAAAUUCGUAGAUAUUCGGAAGAACACCAGUGGCGAAGGCGACACACUGGGCCAUUACUGACGCUGAGGCGCGAAAGCUAGGGGAGCGAACGGG